GUGAAGGAGUCGUCGGUUCGCUCCGCACUGAUUUUGUUUAUUACAAAUUAGAUGUCCACGAGUGUCUGCGGCGUCUUCAAACCUCCGGCAGGAUGGAGGCGUGUAUGAUGAAACCAGAAGUCAAGAAGAAACCAAAGUCGCCCAAACCUCCUCCAAAGCCCACAGAGAUAAAAAGAAAUGAACCACAGAGACCUGAGAAACCCCCUCCUGCUGUUCCUCAGAGACCGACAGAUUCUGAACUGAGUCACACACAAUACAGACUGAAAAAAGUCACAGCAGCAUACAAUGGG